UGUCACGGCCUUGAAGGAUGUUCCAGUUCAUGUAACCAAUGUUACGACGGCCUUUUGAACACUUGGUUUCUCUAGAGGGGGCACAUCUACAGAACGGUAGACUUCAGGCGGCAUCGUAUCCUACCAUUCAUCUCUGGGCACUCGGACAAAACCCAGAUCAAUAAGUCAACGCUCAUGCAAUGUGGAUGCAAAUCUUUGAGAGUUGCAAGGACGUGGACGAAAGGCAUCUGAACACAACAGAGAAAGAUUGUUUGGUAUUUCUAGAAUUAUGGGUCUAUUUUAUUACCGUUAUGUAUUUGUUGAGGGUGCAGUUGCAGGUUAUGGUUUGGUUUCCUCUGAGCUUGAAAUUAUCUUUUGGGCAUGUCUUUUAUUCCUGGAAAUAUCUAGAAUAUUUAUAAACGUGGGCAAUAUUCUGAGAUUAAGUAUUUCAGCUUUUGGGGCAGGAUGCCAGGUUAAGGGCUCUGGCCUUACAUGGUUUAUUUUUUUUGGUGAGGUUGUGAGCCUUGUUUAUUGGUGGUAGUAGUUAAUUUGUAAAAUUGGGGAACUGUAUUUUAUGUAUGUUGUAUACUAUGUAUGUUUUAGUACCAACAGCAACAAACUACUAGAUCGACUUAAGGUAGGUCUGUUGGCUGUAUUUUGAUAUGAGAAGAUUAUCAAAGGACUCCCAAGAUCUUCAUCGCCGUUCAGCUCAAGGUGAGGUGCUGGUUACGUUACUUAUGGGUGGUCCGUGCUGGAACGUUGGGAUUCCAGUCGGACGGUUUUGGGUUGUUUGCGCAGGUUGGUAGUUAGAUUUAUGGAUGUUGAGUCCCCUGAGGGCAACUGGCAGUACGAUCCUCUGGUAUUACCCAAUUUCUUCAGUAACCAUCUACAAUAUUUGACAAAUUUAUUGAGGGCAUACAUUAUAAAUCAUAACAAUGGCAGUUAUCAGAAAAACAUCGCGUAAAACAACGUCUUCAAUAAUUGCUAUCUACAAACGACCCUGCAUUCUUGCGCGCUAAUUUUCGAGUCUCGCGUACACGAUGCGGAGAUCUCUGAAGACUGCAACAUUUGAAUUUGAGGCAAUUUGACGUUUCCAUACUACGGCUCCUUAGAUCUACAACCAGCAGCUGACUGGCUAAGUAUAAUUUGAAUUAUAUUACUAUUGAUACUGCUAUUCUUAAAAUUUGGGCUGUGACUUUCAGUUAAACCCAACUAAAUGGCAAGGAGUUACUUCUUGCAUUAUAGGCUACUUUUGAAGACUAGUAACGGUACCUAAUCUGAAGGUAAUGAACCGCUAAAAUAAUGGAUCCAUGUCUCACAUGUUGAAGUAAUAUAGACCAAAGAGCUGUACAGAGUUGAACUCGUAACUGUGUUUUGUGUCACAAGGUGUUCGUCUCCUCGCCUCCCUGCUGUCACCACCGGUCUGAAGUCCAUAACCGUGAGUGGGGCCAGCUCCAGCCCUUGCUGUCCUGAACCUGAACAAGAUGUCCAUCGAACCGCACAGCAUGGUCGGAGGCAGGAGACGCGGAGGAGGAAGAGCUGCACCAGGCUCGCCAGUGGAAGUGGCAUUCGAUAGUGUUCCCCUGGACCAGGGUGGACCAGAGGCUGAGGACCAGACCCCCUGGACCAGGAAUGGGGCCCCAGGAUGGACCAGAGGCUGAGGACCAGACCCCCUGGACCAGGAAUGGGGCACCAGGGUGGACCGGAGCCUGUGGACCAGACCCCCUGGACCAGGAAUGGGGCACCAGGGUGGACCGGAGCCUGUGGACCAGACCCCCUGGACCAGGAAUGGGGCACCAGGGUGGACCGGAGCCUGUGGACUAGACCCCCUGGACCAGGAAAAGGGCACCAGGGUGGACCAGAGGCUGAGGACCUGACCCCCUGGACCAGGAAUGGGGCACCAGGGUGGACCAGAGGCCGUGGACUAGACCCCCUGGACCAGGAAUGGGGCAGAGGCUGAGGACCAGACCCCCUGGACCAGGAAUGGGGCACCAGGGUGGACCGGGGCCUGUGGACCAGACCCCCUGGACCAGGAAUGGGGCACCAGGGUGGACCGGGGCCUGUGGACCAGACCCCCUGGACCAGGAAUGGGGCACCAGGGUGGACCAGAGGCUGAGGACCAGACCCCCUGGACCAGGAAUGGGGCACCAGGAUGGACCAGAGGCCGUGGACCAGACACCCUGGACCAGGAAUGGGGAACCAGGGUCGACCGGAGCCUGUGGACCAGACCCCCUGGACCAGGAAUGGGGCACCAGGGUGGACCAGAGGCUGAGGACCAGACCCCCUGGACCAGGAAUGGGGCACCAGGGUGGACCAGAGGCUGAGGACCAGACCCCCUGGACCAGGAAUGGGGCACCAGGCUGGACUGGCGGGUAACCAGUUCCCCUGGACCAGGUAUGGGGCACCAGGGUGGACUGGGGCCUGUGGACCAGACCCCCUGGACCAGGAAUGGGGCCCCAGGGUGGACCGGAGGGUAACCUGACCCCCUGGACCAGGAAUGGGGGCCCAGGGUGGACCGGAGGAUGUUGGAGAGCUGACAGCGGAGCCAGGGUGGAGGGAAGCUGAUGGAGCUGUGGUGGAGGGGCUGCCUGACGAAGCCUGACUCUAAAGAAGCUGAUGACCAACCAGGAACGAGACGAGGACUACGAUGGGACUGCUUAAGUCUUCUGAAGGAGUCCUUGGCUGAGGAGGGCUGAUGGGGGGAACCGUGCAUCUGGAGGAAGACCAUGGAUCUGCCGGCCAAUAAGGAGUACUGGGAAGUUUGCAUAACUAUCGUUUACAGUAAAUCGGACAUUACAGCAAACCAUAUUUUGCCGAACAAUUUAAACCACUGCUGUGUGACCAGACUAACUACCAAUGUUUGAUACCAGACAUGGAGGGGAACCCACCGGUGGGUUGCAGACCAUGGCUCUUUGGUGGAGGGGAGCUUACGGAGUUGUGCUGAUGACCACCUCCUGGGACCAGAAUUCCUUUGCCGAGGAGAGCUGACGGAGGAGCGAGGCACCAGGAGGAAGACCGUGACUCCGUCUACCAGCCAGUGGAAGUGAUAAGGCUGCAUCAACUAUAGUUUACUAUCGGACAUGACGGCCAACUAUGUAACCAGACUGAAUAAUGCUGUUUGUUACCAGAUGCACCACUGCUGUUUGUUCCAGACUAGGACUCCGGGAUGGAGGGGAGUGAUGGAGGGAGCCGUGCUCAGGAUCUGCUGGGGGAGGAUGUCCCUCGUGGCGUAAUGGCACCCGUCUCUGAGAUGACUCAGACGACCCACCAGGAUCUGCUCGGAGGACUACGAUGUGACUGCUGAAGUCUCUGGAAGAAUAAAGCUGCACCCACCCAUGGCUCAACUAAUGGUGUUAACCAGACCAGGAACCUUGGCCGAGACCUGAAGGAGGAGCCGUGCAUCUGGAGGAACACCACGAGGCUACCUGCCAAGGAUUACUGGUGCGGUUGAAGUGCUGUGUUCGGUCCGGGGGAAGACGCAACUGAGCCGUAUCUCACCUGCAUCUGAACCUCCGGAGCUCUUCAGAUUGACCAACCCGCGGCGCCGCAUCACAGCUCCUCGUCGCUGGCCUGUGGAUUCAUCUUCUAACACACUCGCAGAACGUGACUUUGUCACAAUCUGCUGCACGUCAGGAGGCUCCUAACGUGUUCCAUCGAUGGUUUCUUUCCUCCCCACUGUGGGAGUGUUCCUUGUUUUUUCAAGUCGUUGGGGUUCAGAGUUAGGGACAGAGUUAGGGAAAGAUGGUUAAUUCAUGGACUGGUUUCACGACGAACUGCUCGAAUUGGGACACACCAGUCCACCCCAAAAUGUUUCAAUGUGCACACGCUUGUUCAAAUGUAUACAAAGGUGUUUUAUAAUAUAAAAUACUAUUCAAAUCCUACCUGGUUGCUUGGU